rnacentral:rRNA from 1 species
AGCGUUGUUCGGAUUUACUGGGCGUAAAGGGCGCGUAGGCGGCCAGCACAAGUCAGUUGUGAAAUCUCCGAGCUUAACUCGGAAAGGUCAACUGAUACUGUGCGGCUAGAGUGCGGAAGGGGCAACUGGAAUUCUUGGUGUAGCGGUGAAAUGCGUAGAUAUCAAGAGGAACACCUGCGGCGAAGGCGGGUUGCUGGGCCGACACUGACGCUGAGGCGCGAAAGCUAGGGGAGCGAACGGGAUUAGAUACCCCGGUAGUCCUAGCCUUAAACGAUGAAUGCUUGGUGUCUGGGGUUAUAAAGUCCCCGGGUGCCGUCGCUAACGCUUUAAGCAUUCCGCCUGGGGAGUACGGUCGCAAGACUGAAACUCAAAGGAAUUGA